UAGUUUUAGGGGAUGCUUUUCUCUCUGCUCUGCUCAGAUCCAUUCCAACGAAGAGAAAGAAAAAGAAACACUGAAAAAGGAAGAAGGCGGCAACUCGACCCAACCAGUGGACGUACCUGUAUCCCAGUUUUUGACGUAUCGGCUUAUCGUAUUGUAUCCGUACCGGUACCGGUGCAACA